CCUACAUAAUAACCUUAGAAGAAGGGGUUUGGAGAGCUUCCGGUUUGACCAGUGGAGGUACUGGGAGGUUGGCAUGCCUGGAGAGAGCAUGGACGCCCCACGCAUCUUGCCCUAUGCGUCUCUUCCAUCUGGCUCUUCUUGAGUUGUAUCCUUUAUAGUAAAUCGGUAAUCUGGUGUGAAUCAUGGUGACACAGUGAAAGACGGUGAUUUACUGCCUUGGGGGGUAUGCGUGUGUAUGAUUAAGGGAUGUAAGUGCAGGACUCCAAGAUUUACUUCCUUCCUGCUCCAGCGGGGAUAGCCGAGGAAAGUGAGUAAUGGGAUAAUUUAUAACACCGCAGGCCCUUCGUCAGGAGACCUCUAGUCAAAACAGGAAGAUCAAACUCAGAAGAUUUCAGCUGGGAGAAGACAACUUUUGAUACUGCCUGGACAUACCUCUUUAUUGCAAGCAGUAGAGGCUUCACAAUUUUUCUGAUUUAGUUUUUCAAGGAGAUUUCCAUGAAAAAGAUGGAUAUAAAAAUUGAACCAGCCAUUUGUUCAAAAUAUCAUCCUUUCCCAAAUGCCCUGCAGAGUCACCUUCAUCAUCAAUCAACUUCCCACCUACAUGAGCUCCUUCUCAUCUCAUGUUUUGGCCUUAGUCCGACGAGCCGGGGCUGAAGUCAGGGUGAAAAGUUCACUCUCCGGAAGUGCUGCUUAAGUCCGAAUCACGUGAGGAGGAGCAGCCCAGGCUCUCGAUGAGAAAACUGAGGUUUAGGAGAUGUGACUUCCCCACGGACACACAGAUAGACUGGUGGAGCAAUGACCCAGCUGUGUCUCCCUGUGUUUGGCCACUGAUCCCAGACGUAUGCUGCUUUUUCCAUCAUCGGGUCAUCCUUGAACAUCCUUCUCAACUGCCCCUGAUCCAUGGAUAGCUGUUCUCUGUUGUCCAUUUCACCAGAUGUCCUUAAAACUAACAGAAAGAAAACGAAAUGGCAAAUGGUUGGGUGCCUUGUCGGUCUGUCCCUGAGGGCAUGGAGAGCCUACAGGCGCAUGCGCCCACGUCUGUAACUUGCUGUUCCUUGUGUCAUAUCAAGUGGAAGUGCGAAGCACCACAAACUGCUUUGAGCAGAGCCCACUUCCCUUCACCCACAGAGAACGUGAAGCAGUUAUACCAACAUCAAUCAAGGAAAACCCACAGGCUGAACUCACACCGUUGAAGCAGGUGAGGAAAUUGAAGAUUCGUCCAAGAGCAGAUAGCUGAUGAGAGAGAGAAAGAAGCAAGAGAACAGCUUACAGCUCAGGUCCUCUUUCUAUGCUCAGGAAUCACCACAAAUGCUACUCUAUUGGACUUCAUUUUGUUUCUUUCUGAAACUCUGCACUCUGUUUGCAAUGGUAUGGCACCGAGCUGCGCUGUUUUGUGUUUCUUUUCUUUUUUUUUUUUUUUAAUUCUGAAGCCAGACCAUCUUGCCUCACAGUUCCAGGGCUGCAUCGCUGUGGGCACGCCAAGCUUCCCCUGGUUACCUGAGCUGCUUCUGCUGUCUCCCCGCCUUGGCUUCGCCGUGGUGCAUCCGAACCCGGAGUCGGUGGUCUGCGCAGUGCGGAAGAAGGACCUGCUCAUGGAGCUCUGGCCAGGGCCCCCUCGCUGCUGGAUGAGGGGACUUGAAGGACAGGGUGAACCUGCAGAAGACCCGGGGUGGGAUGGAUAGAAAGGACGCCAAGGACCGGGGAAGGGGACGUUAGGAAUGCUAUCCGUCCAAUGCCCACCGAUCCUCCGCCGGGCAAGGGCAGCAGCUGCCCCUGCCGUGGGCACCCAGCUCCGGCUGCUCCCAGGGAUUAGUCUGGGGGGAAACCCAUGCCGAGCUGUGGUGGCAUUUUACCUGAGAGUGGAAGUGAAGAUGGAUAAAGCAGGUAUCUGACGUAUCUGCCUGAGGAGGCAGAGUUGGUGAAAGGCAGAGUCAGGGAGCGCAUGAAAAGCAAGAGGAGAUGCCGAAUGCCGUUUGACUGUCUGCCGCUCGCUCUGCAUUCUCAUUCUAGGGAGGAUGGCAUAAUUUAUAACCCAGUACAUGGAUGGAAGAACUGUAAAUUGUAGUGUGGAUGGCCCCGGUGCUGUCAAGGAAGAAACUGAUGGGCUCGGUGACUGUACCAGUGUCCCCAGAGAAAAUAGCAGCCUGGCAGCAUGGAUUUAAAUGCAUGUGCAUGCAUGUAGAGACAUGAAAAAGAAGAGAUUUCUAACCAUUUUGCACAGGAAGUCUGUCACAUUGCUGGAUCGGGCUUGAUUGCAUCUUGUAUUUUCAGCUUCAGCUCAACACCCAUUUCCUGACUAGCUAGAGAGCAUAGCCAAGGCAGCUGCAUGCAGAAUUUUCUUGUUACUGUGAAAGCAAGCCCCCUCAGCUUUAACUCCUUGAAGUUCUGAGUGCUCUGUGCUUUGCUGGGACCGAUUGUGGGGUUUUGUUUUCUUCUUCUUCUACAAAUCCCUGUAAACACAGCUGUAUUCAGUAUGGUGAAAAAUUCUAUCCUGUAAAUAGAAAUCUGAUCAAUUUAAUCAAAAUAAAUGUAUCCCAGAUGACUUUGAGACCAGCUGGCUACCACAGGCUUCAGAUGCUAAAUGUUCAAUGGAGAUGAAGGCAGUGUUAUAUUUACAUGUUUUAGAAUUCCAGGAUCAGCCUAUAAUUGAAAAAAGAAAUCCUUUUCUAAGGAAGAGAGGUAGUCCUACCAGCUUGCAGCUAGAUGGUUAGUACAGGUGCCAAUGCUGUUCAUGUGAUUUGGGAGUUUGGGGUGUUGCAUUUCGCAGGGUGUGAGCCGUGUGGCAGAGUAUCGCCAUAGUCAGUGCGUGUAGAGAAAGCGUGCAUCUAACUUGCUGUAUGGAGAGGCCAGUGCCCUGGGAAUAGCCUCUGGUGAGGUUGGGGGAGGCACUUGAGGCUUAUUUUGGAUUCAGAUGAGUGAGCUGUGGUGCUCCAACCCUAGCUUGGUAGAGUCAGCUCAAAGCUGGGGAUGAGGAGCUUUCCCAGUUGUCAUGGGGAGCUCUUCUGGGACGCCCGUCUGGCCUUUCCACUGUUUGUUACUAUUUCUACAAAGGCUGCUCUGUGUUGGAUUAUGUUUGGCCAGCUGUUGAUGCAUUCCUGCGGG